rnacentral:rRNA from 1 species
CCUACGGGUGGCAGCAGUGAGGAAUAUUGGUCAAUGGCCGAGAGUCUGAACCAGCCAAGUCGCGUGAAGGAUGACUGCCCUAUGGGUUGUAAACUUCUUUUAUCUGGGAACAAAACGUUCCACGUGUGGGUCUUUGUGUGUACCCUAAGAAUAAGGAUCGGCUAACUCCGUGCCAGCAGCCGCGGUAAUACGGAGGAUGCGAGCGUUAUCCGGAUUUAUUGGGGUUAAAGGGUGCGCAGGUGGAUGGUCAAGUCAGUUGUGAAAGUUUGAGGCUCAACCCUCCAAUUGCAGUUGAAACUGGCAGUCUUGAGUGCAGGAGAGGUAGGCGGAAUUCGUGGUGUAGCGGUGAAAUGCUUAGAUAUCACGCAGAACUCCGAUUGCGAAGGCAGUAUACCGGCGUGCAACUGACGCUGAGGCUCGAAAGCGUGGGUAUCGAACAGGAUUAGAUACCCCUGUAGUC